rnacentral:rRNA from 1 species
UACGUAGGGUGCGAGCGUUGUCCGGAGUUACUGGGCGUAAAGAGUGCGUAGGCGGUCCUCUAAGUUUGGUGUGAAAUCUCCCGGCUCAACCGGGAGGGUGCGCCGAAAACUGGAGGGCUCGAGUGUGGGAGAGGUAAGCGGAAUUCCUGGUGUAGCGGUGAAAUGCGUAGAUAUCAGGAGGAACACCUGUGGUGUAGACGGCUUACUGGACCAUUACUGACGCUGAGGCACGAAAGCUGGGGGAGCAAACAGG